GACGAACGCUGGCGGCGUGCUUAACACAUGCAAGUCGAACGGAAAGGCCCUGCUUUUGUGGGGUGCUCGAGUGGCGAACGGGUGAGUAACACGUGAGUAACCUGCCCUUGACUUUGGGAUAACUUCAGGAAACUGGGGCUAAUACCGGAUAGGAGCUCCUGCUGCAUGGUGGGGGUUGGAAAGUUUCGGCGGUUGGGGAUGGACUCGCGGCUUAUCAGCUUGUUGGUGGGGUAGUGGCUUACCAAGGCUUUGACGGGUAGCCGGCCUGAGAGGGUGACCGGCCACAUUGGGACUGAGACACGGCCCAGACUCCUACGGGAGGCAGCAGUGGGGAAUAUUGCACAAUGGGCGGAAGCCUGAUGCAGCAACGCCGCGUGCGGGAUGACGGCCUUCGGGUUGUAAACCGCUUUCGCCUGUGACGAAGCGUGAGUGACGGUAAUGGGUAAAGAAGCACCGGCUAACUACGUGCCAGCAGCCGCGGUGAUACGUAGGGUGCGAGCGUUGUCCGGAUUUAUUGGGCGUAAAGGGCUCGUAGGUGGUUGAUCGCGUCGGAAGUGUAAUCUUGGGGCUUAACCCUGAGCGUGCUUUCGAUACGGGUUGACUUGAGGAAGGCAGGGGAGAAUGGAAUUCCUGGUGGAGCGGUGGAAUGCGCAGAUAUCAGGAGGAACACCAGUGGCGAAGGCGGGUCUCUGGGCCUUUCCUGACGCCGAGGAGCGAAAGCGUGGGGAGCGAACAGGCUUAGAUACCCUGGUAGUCCACGCUGUAAACGGUGGGUACUAGGUGUGGGGUCCAUUCCACGGGUUCCGUGCCGUAGCUAACGCUUUAAGUACCCCGCCUGGGGAGUACGGCCGCAAGGCUAAAACUCAAAGGAAUUGACGGGGCCCCGCACAAGCGGCGGAGCAUGCGGAUUAAUUCGAUGCAACGCGUAGAACCUUACCUGGGUUUGACAUGGAUCGGGAGUGCUCAGAGAUGGGUGUGCCUCUUUUGGGGUCGGUUCACAGGUGGUGCAUGCCUGUCGUCAGCUCGUGUCGUGAGAUGUUGGGUUAAGUCCCGCAACGAGCGCAACCCUUGUUCACUGUUGCCAGCACGUUAUGGUGGGGACUCAGUGGAGACCGCCGGGGUCAACUCGGAGGAAGGUGGGGAUGACGUCAAGUCCUCAUGCCCCUUAUGUCCAGGGCUUCACGCAUGCUACAAUGGCUGGUACAGAGAGUGGCGAGCCUGUGAGGGUGAGCGAAUCUCGGAAAGCCGGUCUCAGUUCGGAUUGGGGUCUGCAACUCGACCUCAUGAAGUCGGAGUCGCUAGUAAUCGCAGAUCAGCAACGCUGCGGUGAAUACGUUCCCGGGGCU
rnacentral:rRNA from 1 species